UUAACCUUGACGAAAGUAAGACUAAUGCCCAAUGACAUUUAUAGAAGGCAUCUGAAAUGAAUUAAAGAUUUAUCGGUGAUGGAUGGGGAUGCGUCUGAUUAGCUUGUUGGCGGGUAACGGCCCACCAAGGCAACGAUCAGUAGGGGUUCUGAGAGGAAGGUCCCCCACAUUGGAACUGAGACACGGUCCAAACUCCUACGGGAGGCAGCAGUGAGGAAUAUUGGUCAAUGGGCGAGAGCCUGAACCAGCCAAGUAGCGUGCAGGACGACGGCCCUAUGGGUUGUAAACUGCUUUUAUAAGGGAAUAAAGUGAGUCUCGUGAGACUUUUUGCAUGUACCUUAUGAAUAAGGACCGGCUAAUUCCGUG
rnacentral:rRNA from 1 species